AAUCUACUCUACAGUACUUUUGCUGUAAUUUUUUUUCACUAAAAUAUCCCCUACAGGCUAGUAAGUGACAAAAAGUCAGGACACUUUGAACUUCACACUCAGGGAUACAAUGCUGGAUAAUUUGGUCUGGGCAAAUUUUAAACAACUUUGAUUCUUCUCAAAAAUAAUAUUUUACUUGGAUAAAGAAUUUACUUUUAUCUUGCUAGGUCCAGU
rnacentral:lncRNA from 1 species